ACCUGACCACACGGGAGCGCACCCGCACGUGCGCUGAGAGGACGGCAACGGGCCGUCGACCGUAGAACCUGACCGGGUAAUGCCGGCGUAGGGAGUGACAAUGAAAUUGCA
rnacentral:ncRNA from 2 species